UAGUUCUAUAUCGAAGUCUUGGGAUAAUCUUAUUAUGAACUUGAGUCACGUUGAAACUCUCAAGAUGGAGUUAGUUGUUGCAUUAUUGCUUACAGAAAAGAUGAGGUGAAAAUCUAGCUAAGGAAGCUCUUUAGCAGAGACCAUGGUAGCACGAGACAGGCCUUUGAAAAGGAAACGUGGUGAUCGAGGAAAGACAAGAUCUAAAUCCAAGGACAAAAAGAAGAUGAAAUGCUGGAAUUAUGAAAAAUCAGAGCAUGUAAAGAAAGAUUGUCGAGCUAAAAGAGUUGAUACAAAAUCUGAAUCGAAAAAAUUUUAAGACAAUGUAGCAGAAAGUGAAACUGGUUCAGCUACUUCAGAUGACGAAGAUGUAUUGACGGCAU
rnacentral:lncRNA from 1 species